CCGUUGUGCGUCGCUUAAGUGAGGGCGGCGGAUGGGCGAAGGUCCGGUGACUGCGACUGUCGCUGCUCUCUGAGGCCACAGGAAAGGGGCCGUCGGCCGCCGCCAUGACAGCGAGCGAGGCGGAGGAACCAUGUAAGAAGUCUGACUGCCCUGCUGGAGAAACCAAAUGGAGAGGUCAAGAGACAACAUGGAGAGAGAACGCACAGCCCAGCUGAGCCCAGCUUUCCAGUUAUCCCCACCAAUGCGCCACACAUAUGAAGGAAGUCAUUUUGGUCCCUCCAAAACAACCUAGCCAGCCAGCUGGAUACCACUGAGUGACCUCAGUAGAUGCCACGUGGGACAGGAGAAUUCUCUAGUGAGCUUUGCCCACAUUCCUUACCCACACAGUCAUGAGUAUAAUUAAAUGAUUAUUGUUUUAAGCCCCAAGUUUUGGGGUGGUUUAUUACACAGCAGUAUAUAACUGGAACAUUGGGCACUGAAGUAGUGGAAACCAUACAUGCACGUUAUAUUUCCGUUAAACUUGGAAAGGGAAAGAUCUGAUGGAGUGGGAGGAUCACAUAAGAUCAAGGGAGAAUUUUUAUGAAGAUGACAGAGACUUGGGAGUGUGCAUAUGCUGAUGGGGAAGA
rnacentral:lncRNA from 1 species